rnacentral:rRNA from 1 species
GAUGAACGCUGGCGGCGUGCCUAAUACAUGCAAGUCGAGCGAACAGACGAGGAGCUUGCUCCUCUGACGUUAGCGGCGGACGGGUGAGUAACACGUGGAUAACCUACCUAUAAGACUGGGAUAACUUCGGGAAACCGGAGCUAAUACCGGAUAAUAUAUUGAACCGCAUGGUUCAAUAGUGAAAGACGGUUUUGCUGUCACUUAUAGAUGGAUCCGCGCCGCAUUAGCUAGUUGGUAAGGUAACGGCUUACCAAGGCAACGAUGCGUAGCCGACCUGAGAGGGUGAUCGGCCACACUGGAACUGAGACACGGUCCAGACUCCUACGGGAGGCAGCAGUAGGGAAUCUUCCGCAAUGGGCGAAAGCCUGACGGAGCAACGCCGCGUGAGUGAUGAAGGUCUUCGGAUCGUAAAACUCUGUUAUUAGGGAAGAACAAAUGUGUAAGUAACUAUGCACGUCUUGAUGGUACCUAAUCAGAAAGCCGCGGCUAACUACGUG